GGGCCUUUGGCUUCCUGUCACACAGCCGUGCGACAAGGGGCAGGUUUCUGAAGGACCAGAGAGAAAAGGGGUCUGUUGUUCUCGGGGGCACAGGCUUGCUGGUGGCAUCCCGCACAGACACUCUCUCCUCACAGCUCCCACCACGGGGACUGGAGGCAGGAGGAGCCGACGGGCCCCUGGAACGGCCGCGGUGCGUCCCGAGGUGGGAGCCGCAAGCCCGAGGCUCGGCCGAGUCCCAGGGGACCCUAACGGAGGCCGGGCUGGAAGGCCAAGGUGGCUGCCACGUGGGAAGGUAUCCUUGACGUCCAGACCCUGGAGAAGGAAUCGGGAGCCACCACCCAAAGCAACUGUCCAGGAAAAGUGGUCGCGCUUCAGCCAUCGCGCUGGGCUAGGUCUUCCAAGCGAACCCCCUGUUGGAGCCUCUGCCGUCUAACGUCACCUAAUGUAGCCGAACCUGCCAAGACCCUGGCUACUUAACUGGAACCCAGACCAGGGCGAUCCCCAAGUGUUGCUAGGUAACAACAACAAAGCAACCAAUAUGUGCACGCUUUACAGUUUGUAAGCGUCGUCACUUCUCGUUUGCCCCUCAUUACUGCUCUGUGAAGAGGGCGCCCGGCCGUAGCUAGGAAGCAAGAGCUGAUCUCAGACCCAGGUCUCAGCUUCUAAGUCUGGUGGCAUUUUUACCACAGCCAAUGGCUUUUUGAUACCAUCCAGAUAACACUAGAAUGCUCUGCAGCCUGAGGAAGCAUCUAGGUUCUACUCUUUUUUUUAAUUGAAGAACUUACUUUUUAUUAAAGGAUAGUUGAGUUACAAUGUUGUGCCGAUUUCUGCUGCACAGCAAAGUGACUCCGUUACACAUGUAUUUACGUUCUUUUUGGUAUUCUUUUCCAUCAUGGUCUGUCCCAGGGGACUGGAUAUAGUUCCCUGUGCUGGACAGCAGGGCCUUAGUGUUUAUCCAUAUUCUAAAUGCAAUAGUUUGUGUCUACUGACCUCAAACUCCUAGUCCAUCUCACUGCCCCCUCUCUGCCUUGGCAACCACAAGUCUAUUCUCUAUGUCUGUGAAUGUGUCUAUUUUGCAGAGAGGUUCGUCUGUGCCAUAUUCUAGAUCCCACAUAUAAGUGACGACAUAUGGUAUUUGUCUUUCCUCUUUCUGACUUACUUCACCUAGUAUGAGAAUCUCUAGUUCCAUCCAUGUUACGACAGAUGGCAUUAUUUUGUUCUUUUUCAUGGCUGAGUAGUAUUCCAUUGUGCAUAUGUACCACGUCUUCCUCAUUGGUUCAUCUGUUGAUGGACAUUUAGGUUGUUUCCAUGUCUUGGCUGUUAUGUGAAUAGUGCUGCAAUGAACAUCAGGAUACACAUAUCUUUUUGAAUUAUGGUUUUUCCGGAUAUAUGCCCACGAGUGGGACUGCUGGAUCAUCUAGUAGUUCUACUUUUAGUUUUCCAAGGAAUCUCCAUGCUGUUUUGCAUAGUGGUUGUACCCACUUACAUUCCCACCAGCAGAGCAGGAGGGUUCCCUUUUCUCCACACCUUCCCCAACUAGGUUCUACUCUUGAGAAUGUGUUCAGGGCUUGAAGCAAAGCUCUCCAAAAGGAACCACUCCCGCCUUAUCUCCCCAGAAUCGGUCUGUAUCUAAAGCGCGCGCGCGCGUGAGGAGCCUUCCGCCUUCAUUCCUUCCUGCCUGGGACAGACCCAGCGGCAUUGCCAAGAUGACAUUCUUAGGACAGGCACCUGCUAGAUUCCCUUCCCCCUUGGUAGCUGCUCAUUGACGGUGCUUGGAAUCAGAGCCGCAGCUGCUUUUGCGUCCCAAGACCUUGAGAAAAAAAUCGUGUCCAGGCUUGAAUGACAGACGAAAGGACCCUACAAAUGACCCGAUGACUUUUAAAGCAGCCUUCCUUGGGGCAGCGGGCGCACGAAGUGGCGCUGCCCGGCAGUGCCUCUACGUGCAUCUGGCCCUCCUCUCCCCGCUCCUUCCUCUUUAUUGCACCUCCACGACUGCCGACGCGCACAAAGAGCCGCUGCCGGAGAGGAAAUAGGAAAGGCCCUUCUCUCUUCUUUUGUCCCCGCUCUAGUGGGUGAGCAGGACCCAAUUUAAAGGGGGCUCUGGCUGAAGAAAUAAAGGCUGCAGGUGAAUGUUCAGCUUGGCUGUGCAAGGUGAGUACAAAAAUUCUGCUGCACGUCGGCGCUUUGGAGGCCUGGUCUCUGCCACGCUUUCCUGAAUGCGCUGCAGGCAGACCUCACCUGCUUUACUGCACUUCACCGAUGCUGCGGUUUUUACAAACUGAGGGUUUGUGGAAACGCAGCGCUGUCAGCUGAUGGUUUACAUUUUUUGCAAUAACCUCCCUUGAAUCCAGGUGUGUACAUUGUUUUUUCAGACAUGAUGCUACUGCAGACAUAAGAGACUACGGCACAGCUAGCAUGAAGCUAGCUUUUCCAUGCACUGGAACCAGCCAGUACUCACCAGGUUGAGCUGGUCUGGAGCUGAACCCAGCUUCUCCGAGGUCUGCCCGUGGUAGAUGCUCCUUAUCCGUUUCCCUGAAGCGACCAAGCACAGCACGAGAGCCCAAGGCCCCCAUGCAGAUAAUGGACAAAGGCAGGACUUUCGUGUUAGUGGGUAAGACAAGGGUUUGACAUUCCUCGCAUCCUCCCAGGGCUGCUCCGUGACUCUCUUGUCCGCGUGCGUCCUCCUGCGUCAGCUGCUUUACACACAGUCGUGUGCAUGUGUUCGCCCCACCUCCUUACUCAUUGUCCACACUGCUUCUUGCAGCCCACCUUCCUCUUCCUCGACGGUGGCUCCAGCCCCUUCAUGUCGCCUCCAAGCUCCUGCCCAAGUGUUCCCACCCGCACUGCUGGGAGCAGCUCCUCUGUGUUUUCAGGGCCACUUUGCUGUCGUCCUUUGAAGGUUCUCUUGGCGACUCUAGGAAGACUCCGUGGUACAGGUGACCUUCUGUAUCUGUGGAGGAUCGGUUCCCAGAUACCCCCGCCCACGGAUCCCAAAAUCCCAGGAGCCAAGCCUUGUCUAAAGUGCCGGAGUGCAGCCUGGCCUCCAGAACGCGUGAGAACAGAGCAGCCGUACUCUGUUUCCAACGAGCCGAUGGCCAAAGCCCCGCCGUGCGUGUUCUCUAUGGACUGAACAGCCAGUGGCCCUGUAGCAGUGAAGCCUCACACCGUCCUCCAGGCUGGAAGGGACCCUUGAGUCACAGAACUUGCCAGUUUGCAAACAUGUCUCUAGUUGUAACAACUUUCAUCUGUCAAAUGAGGGCUCUUCAUUUCUAAGGUUCUAGAAGCCGGCCGUGGUCAUUUAGUCCCUCAGCUGGGUGUACUGAAAUCUGGGCCAGAGGCACAGCUUCCUCGCUAAGACACCCCCCCACCCCAGCACCCUGCACACACACACAGGCAGAGGCCAAGCUGCCUGCCUCCCCGCACCCCCUAGAAUGCUGACCACUGGGGACCGAGGGGCAGUUCCUACCUUUUACAUCCUUACAUACUGAAUCUGGCGCUGGCUCCUGGGCUGCAUCUUCUUAACUGCAAACACUCUAUACCAUCCCUCUCUGGUUCCACCAGCCACCACCCUCCUUCCGUGUCCUCCUCUGAACGUGCCUGAUAAAGGCUUUUGAGUGACUGAAUGAGUGGACGGCUCCCAUCUUCUGUCAUCUCAAUGAGUGCUGCUCCCCAGCUGACUGGAACCAGACGCCCUAGUUCCCAGGCUGGGUUUCCCUCCAGAUGUGUUCUCCUGCGGUGUCGGUUCCACCGUUAAACAGCUGUAUCACUCAGCAGGUAUGCAACGUUGAUGCGCCUCCAUUUCCUCCUCUGCAGAAUUGUGGGAGUUCCUGUCGUGGCUCAGCAGAAUCCGGCUUGUAUCCACAAGGAUGCGGGUUCUAUCCCUGGCCUCGCUCGGUGAAUCUGGGAUCCAGCCUUGCCGUGAGCUGUGGUGUAGGCCGGAAGCUGUAGCUCCAAUUUGACCCCUAGCCUGGAAACUUCCACAUGCUGAGGGUUCGGCCUUAAAAACAACAACGACAACAAAAUAGUACUUACGUCAUAGGCUUGCUGUCAGCAUUAAAUGAGAGAGUCUGUUAAAAACGCCGAGAACAUUGCCUGGCAAUAUACAUUGCAGAAUACUCAAUAAAUAUUAGCUGGUGUUAUUUCAUACUUCAUCAAACACAACCUUCGUCACACAUCGCUGUGCUUCUUAUUUAAUUUGUUGACUUUCCAAAAAGACUGUAAGCUCACGUCUGCCGUGGUCUUAUCCCCAGCGUGGUGGUCUGGCAGGUGGUCAGGGGUCGAUACAGGUCUAAAUGCACCCCCGCGAGAAUGGGCGCGCUGAGGGCGGACACGAAUUUCUUCCACCUGUGACAUUUCAAAGAAUGGUUGAAACUGGUGCCUCUAUAACAUUUGAGAAGCAGACAGGAGACGCUAUUGCCAAGUGGCUACGUGCGCAGAGGGCGAAGCCAGAGGGGAUGAAUUGGAAGCCCAACUCCACGCUCAGCAGAACGUGACCGUACAUCAGCCAGCUUCUGUGCCUCUGUUUCCUCGUCUGUGAAAUGGGAAGGAUGAUAAUAGCACCAACCUCGGAGGGUUUUCAGGAAGCUUGAAUGAGUUCAUGUUUGGAAGGUCGUCGGCAUCACGUAAGUGCUAGCUGCCAUCUGCGCCAUUGGUAAGGACAUGACACAAAGAAGACUUGAGAGAGGAAAAAGCCACCAUGGCUGGAAGGCAGGGCUCAGAACAGGCCUGGGGCCAGGCCAGGAGGGUCCUGCACCAUUGACCUAUGGUCAGAGUAUUUUUGGUUCACAUGGUCCAGGCCACUCUUGAGGGCAGGGGCUUGGGGGGGCGGGGAUUCUAGAAGCCUGAUUUGCACUGCCCUGCCCCCCAGCUCUCAGCACAAACCCUGCCCCCAGGGAGGGAAGACGCAUCCCGCAUCCCGGCCCAGCCCCGCUGCUCCUCGGGGGCCUGCUGAGGCCGCGGCCACUCCUCCCACCCCGCCAGCUCCCCCUGGGGGACUUUGUCAUCACCACGUGGUUCAGGGACCCUCCAGACCCCCGGGGUGGCUGUCCUCUUCCCCGCUGCUGCGCCUCCAAGCCCAGGCCUCAGAGGAGCCCGGCUGCCACAGGACAGCCACCUCCUCCCUGGGCCUCACCGUCACUGACCCAAAAAUGGGUCAGAUUUGCUCAAGAUUCAUGACUUUUACGUAACACUGCUGUUAAACACAGGUGUGCCUAUUUAAACGAUUUGAAUAAGAUGCUAAUAAAUGAACCCACUGCCUUGCGAUGGCCGAGCUCUCACUUCAGGAUCGCAACACGAGUGCAGAACGAAUGCCUGGCUGGCGACGGGUUAAAGAAGUCGGUAUCGGCAGGCUUUCAGGAAGGAUCCAGCACGUGGUCCACGAGGUUCCUCAACUGAUGGGGCAGCAGGGACAGCUUCCCUCACUGGUGCCCGCUCACUGCCUGACGGGGGGCAGAGUCCAUCCAGGCAACACACAAUUUCAAAAAUGUGUUUAUCUUCUUCUUCUUUUUUCUUUUUGUGGCCACACCAGUGGCCUAGGGAAGUUCCCGGGCUAGGGGUCGAAUCGGAGCUGCAGCUGCCGGCCUGCUCCACAGCCAAAGCAGCUGGAAUCCAAAUCUCGUCUGUGACCCACACCACAGCUCAGGGCGACGUCGGAUCCUUAACCCACUGAGCGAGGCCGGGGAUCGAACCUGGGUCCUCAUGCACACUAGUCGGGGUCUUAACCCUCUGACUCGCAAUGGGAACUCCUAAAACGUUUUCUGACGGGGAUGCAGUCCCCCUUUAGACUGGCAUGCCGCGGCAUAAAGGCGGAAAUGCAGCUUUCUUCGUUCCACGCAGGGCCUCGCUCUCUGGACAGAGGCGGGAGGUGGGACAGGCAGACGGGAACCUCUGGGCUCGUGGCGAGAUUAUCCUGGAAGAGAAGACCGUUCAAACCGCUUGAAGCCCAUUGGGAUCCAAAGUAAGCGGCUUCACAAUCAGCCAAAGAUAAAAUGUUUUGAAAAGCACUGAAACUUCCUAUAGUGAGGGGUUAACUCCGUGGAGGCGUCUGGCUGCGUGGAGAGGGGCCUGGCGAGCAGAGCUGAGCGGCCGGCAGGAAGGGAAGAGGCUGCCUCCCGCCGGGGGCACACAGCCCACAGGCCUCCUGCGCGUGCUGGCCAGUGAUCGGCCAGGAAGGAUGACAGCGUGGCAGCAAGAGGCCACCGCGUGCUCCGAGGGGCUUCAGAUCCCUCCGUGCCUCUUGGUUUGACCCUGGCUUCUUGACUCCUCAUGCUCCCCAGCACUACCAUGGACCAGACCUUCUAGGACCAACCCUAUUCCGCUUCCUCCAACCUCCUCUUGGCCAUGAACUCAGAAGCCAAGGACCCCGCCGACAUCCUGCUGCGGAUGGAUGGCUCGCACCGGCUGGGACCCCAGGUUUUCCUGUUACGUGUCACCGAAGCCUCUCACAAGCCCUGGAAACAUCAUCAGGCACAGGAAGUUCUCAGCAAGAAUCUGAUUUUGGUUCUCCGUGACUCCCCCUCAGGGAUUAGUCUUUGUAGUACAGUUUCCAGAGUUCCCGCUGUGGCUCAGUUGGAAGGAACCCGACGAGUAGCCGUGAGAACACGGGUUCAAUCCCUAGCCUCGCUCAGUGGGUUAAGGAUCCAGUGCUGCUGUGAGCUGUGUGUAGCUCGGAUCUGGCAUGGCUGUGGCUGUGGCCUGGCAGCUGCAGCUCCGAUUCAACCCCUAGCCCAGGAACUUCCAUAUGUCGCAGGUGCAGUCCUAAAAAGAAAAAAAAAAAAAAA
rnacentral:lncRNA from 1 species